rnacentral:misc_RNA from 1 species
UGCCACAUGACAACAUCACAUUGGCUUCGAUUUCCUCACAUAACUUGCAAGACUUUGUAAGCUUCCUUCCCCAUUUCCAAUCAUUCUUGCUACUAUUUUUUUCAUCCCAAAAACAUACUUAUCUCUAAGCCAUGGGACAAAUUCUUGAAAAAUUUCAAGGCAAGCAAUGGAGAGAAAAACAGAUGCGAAAAAUAACAGAUAAGGUGUUUAAUCGUUUCAAAGAUGAAACAGGAAAAGCUUAUCUAAAGUUCGAAGACCUUUACAUUGCUGUUCUACUUGUCUACAAUGAUA